GUGCUCGCUUCGGCAGCACAUAUACUAAAAUUGGAACGAUACAGAAAAUAUUAGCAUGGCCCCUGCACAAGGAUGAUACGCAAAUUAAUGAAGCAUUCCAAAAAAAA